rnacentral:rRNA from 1 species
GUGAGGAAUAUUGGUCAAUGGACGGAAGUCUGAACCAGCCAUGCCGCGUGCAGGAAUAAGGUCCUAUGGAUUGUAAACUGCUUUUAUUCGGGAAUAAACCUCUUUACGUGUAGGGAGCUGAAGGUACCGAAGGAAUAAGCACCGGCUAACUCCGUGCCAGCAGCCGCGGUAAUACGGAGGGUGCAAGCGUUAUCCGGAAUCAUUGGGCUUAAAGGGUACGCAGGCGGGCUAUCCAGUCAGAGGUGAAAUCCCACAGCUUAACUGUGGAACUGCCUUUGAAACUGAUUGUCUUGAAUUAAGUGGGCGUUGGCGGAAUAUGACAUGUAGCGGUGAAAUGCAUAGAUAUGUCAUGGAACACCGAAAGCGAAGGCAGCUAACGAUACUUAUAUUGACGCUCAUGGAAGAAAGCGUGGGUAGCGAACAGGAUUAGAAACCCCUGUAGUCC